UAUUUGAAAAAUAUUUGAUUUUAAAAUCUUUAACUCGCGUGCUUUUAUUUUGAAAGCGCAACACAGCGUCUUUUCACCGGCCCGCCCCACCCCCUCAACGGCUAGUGGGGUCUGAAACUGACGACAGGUCGUCUGAGGUUAAUAUAAAGAGACAGCAGCAGCUCAGUUUAAAUGAUUUCUUUCUACUGGGGAAGAAAAGAAAGAAAGGAAAUGUGAGUUGGUAUAAAUUUUGUCCAGGAGGAUAAUUAUAUUUUAUGUCUAACGUAAGCCAUGGAUUAAAGUUCUUCGUCAAUUGCAAAAUUUUUAAAUUCACUUUUCAUAAAGACGACGUGUAUUCCCCUUGCUAAGCGGGAUUUGAUCAAAGCCUGGAGUGGAGCGAAAGCACGUUCUUCUCUUCACUAAAUACUCUUUAACCUGCCCACUGGAGCUUGGAAUGCAAUUUGGGACAUUCUUCCAGUUGUCGGCAACUUUGCGAAAAAGGCUAUGUAAGAAUUUAUAGUCAGCCUUGACAAAGAUUCCACUCCAAUUUAGCUGUUGAAUAAAGCUCAUCCCUCUAAAAGGCUUGAUAAUCAUAAAAGCUAGAAACUAAAAUGCAGAAUUCUGGCCUGGUGUUUGGUCUGUGCUGUCUUUGGCUCUUGCAUCUCCAUCAUCCUGACCCUCUUUAGCAGCCUGUCCAUGUAUUUAUUUGAAGGCCACCAUGAGCACCCAUCUGCAUAAUAUGACUUUGUUACUCAGAUGUCCAUGCGCUCCUACAAAUUCUACAUUUUUUGUAAAGCUGCAACAAGUUGAAACCCUAUAAUUAUUAACGUUUGAUUUUGAACUAUGUAAUUAAAAUACAUGAAUAAGUAACAAAAGCAGAAAUCUAUUAAGACAUUACCUUUUUGUUGCUUGUUUACUGAUCUAUCAAUCCUUUUGCAUUUUCAUAAUUGAUCAUCAUAACUUGGUAUACAGUGGAUGUGUGGCUGUAGAUAACUUCUGAAGUCAAUUUAAAAAGACAAAAGUUAAUAAAUGCUGAAUUGGUCAAAUAUACAUUGUUGUAUUUUCACCAUUUUGAUGUUUAGGCAUUUCAUAAAUUGAGGGUUAAUUCACGUAUACUGAUGUUUCAAAUCAAAGAUUAUUUAUUAAUGACAGCUAAUUAUUUUAUAAAGAUUUUUAUUACAAUAUUUAUUUGUAUAAUAUCAAUUUAAUACAUUUAAUUCGUUACACCUACAUCACUGAGCGCAAGGGAGUGCAGCCAACAAAUACAUUCAGGUGUGUUUGACUUAACACCGAGAUGCGCAGACAGCACGUGGUAUGACAUCAAAGUACCGCGAGAGUUUGGGAAAGCCCCUGAAAAGGUUUGAACUCGCGGUAUUUGAUGUCACGAUCGGUUUGCGCGUACAUCAGCAUGAAGUCAAACACAUCUGAGAGAUGUGUGGGCUGCCUGCACUCAACGUUGCGAUCUUGCGAUAAUUCAGUAGAGUGUAACCUCAGUCGUUUUUUGCAGCUUCUGGGUGUCGUGUCGAACGAUAGCAGAACGAUCUUUUGUUCUUUUCCAACUCGAUUUUUAACUCCCUAAACUAGUAGGAUGUUCCGACGGGUGAAGCAACAGUGCUGACGGCAGAGUUUCAGUGUCAAUUUUUCAUGCCAUGAUCACUGGGGCGGAAACCAUUAUGACGUUGCCUUGGACAUCAAACUAAACCAUCUCAUUCUGGCUUUUCUCUAACAUCGAAAUCUCAGAAGGACAGGACUAAGAUGGACGCAGCCUACACAGGAUGCAACCUUGCAUUUGAGGAACACCCAUAGAACGGAGAAAGUCAUUGGUUCUUCUGCUGAGGUUGUCAUAAAGCAUGCUUUUUCCAUUUGUUGCAUUGGGCAAUAUUAUCAAAAGAUUCUGAAAGAAAUAAGAUAAUUUUCAAAGCAUUAACAUGAAUAUGAAAGCAUUAGGUCAUUAAUGACCAUCUUUUAUUAUUGUUUAUUUACAGUGUCUUUAAUUCUGCUUACCUGACUCAUGCAGAAUUCUGGCUUGAUGUUCGGUCCACCUGUUAGCUGGCUCUGGUGCUUGGUAGUCUUCUCACUCAAACCUCUGAAUCAAGACCACCAUGAGAGGCCUUCUGAAGACCAUCAUUACGCUUCAGAUCCAGUUGUCUUUACUAUGAGAUGGGACUGAACUGGAGUCUGUGAACUAAUGCUGUGUUCGAGACAACUUGGAUGUUGGAUAUUAUUGACCUCAAACCCGUAAGAAGUCUGGAACAGCAAACAAAAUCCUUUCUCUUUUUAAUGCAGAACUUAAGGAUGAACCACCCUGAUCUACUUAGAUGCACAGAUUCAACUCUGGCCCAGCAUCAUCCCCACACCUCAUCUGCCAUCAGUUUAAUUUAAUGUCUGUCAAUUGCAAAGGCUAUUUAUUUCAGUUAUAUUACAACUUAAUGUUAACUUUAAUUGAGACUAGUAUUGUGUAAAGCUGGGGUUUCCAAACUUUUAAUUUCAAAACCUAUUAGACAAGUGUAAUCUAUUUUAGACCCACUAAAAUAUUUUUUUAAUGGGGUAAAACACAUUUGUUCUCUUUCAGUGGAGUUAUUUUAUUUUCAUAAUAUUUCAUAAUGUAAAGCAGUGGUUCUUAACGUUAUUCCUCGAGGCCCAUUGCUCUGCACAUUUUGUAUGUCUUUUUUAUCUGACAGACUCGGUUCAGUUCAUUGAGAUCUCUUCUAAUGAGCUGAUGAUUUGAAUCAGGUGUGUUAAAUAAGGGAGACAUACAAAAUGUGCUGGGCAGUGGGCCUCGAGGAAUAACGUUAAGAACCACUGAUGUAAAGUAAAUAUAAGUUUAUUUGCAAUACCAAAUAUUUUAUGGUAUAUUCUUUCAAAACCAUUGUCAUUGUUAAUUAUUAAUUUGGCCAGACUGUUGUUGCAUCAUUAAGGUGUGCAACACACCUUAACCUACUGUGUGACCUGUGUCACAUGCUACUUUCAGCACUUAUUACAUCACAGUGUUUUUAAUGCUUAAUUUUUAGGUUUAUUAUAAAUUCAUUCAUUUUUAAAGAAUUCCUUCUUUAUGUAGAACAUGCAAAGUCUAAAAUGUAAAGUGUCAUGAUCUGCUCUGGGUCUUGUGCAGUGAUUAAAAGAGCAGGUAGUAAAUGUCAUGGCUUUGCAGUAUAUUGGGUAGGCUCUGGAUGUAAUGAACAUUCAGCACAUAGGUUUCAUAAAUUUAAUUUGGAAACAAACUUGUCAGAACAAUCCAUGCUGUGAUGCUGGAUAAUACCUAGUCAAAUGAAUACAUGUAUAAUGUGUUUCGACAUUGUAUAAGGUUCUUCAUCUAUACAAACAUCUGUUAGUGAACGGUGCAGAGACUGCUGUCCAUUAUUGGUUACAGUAUAUUUGUUAAAAUGUUGCCAGUAAGAUUAUUUCCUUGUACAAGGUACUUUCUUUAUAUGUGUUUUAUUCUACACUUAAAGCAUAAACGCAAUUUAAAUGCAAGAGUCCCCUCGUCCCUACUUCCAAAUAUGCAAGUGAAACUGGACUAAACGCAUACAGUAUACAUACGGGUAUGAUUUCAUGUUUCUAUAUUACACGUGAUACAGGUAGGCAGGGUGCGAUUUGCCGGGGGGGAUGCGUGGGAUUUCCCCCUUUCUGGUCAAUGUAUCCCUGCCUCUGCUUAAUUAUUUUUAUCCCCGGUGGGGAUAAAUUUAUCCCCCCCUCAAAGUGAUCAGUGCUACUACACCAGUGGCGAGACGGAUCACAAAACUUAUCAUGGAUCCGUGGUUUGAUUAAAGUCAAUUUUGUUUUAAAAUACGCUACUUUGGCUGGCUCUGAUACAGCUGCCGCGCAGCCUCUCUGUAUUCAUCACUCUGCAGACUUGCUCAAUGUCCCGCCCACGGCGCUAUCUGAUUGGUUACAGACCCGGUUACACCUCACAAGUAAUAGACACUAGUGAGAUGGUUAUGGAGCUGUGUGUCGAAACGAUGGAAGGCAGCAUAUUCAGCUGCAUAUUAAUAAAGCGGGAAUAAACAUAACAAUCUGAUUAUCUGUUUAUGAUGACAAGCAAAUUAGUGUCCCAGUCACACCACUGAGAAUGGCCGAAGUUACACAUGAUAAAUGCCGAUGAGGCGCGUUUAGUGAGGCGCGGGCGCAUCCAGUUUGCUCAAAUGAGGCUAAUUGAC